rnacentral:rRNA from 1 species
AGCGAACGCUGGCGGCAGGCCUAACACAUGCAAGUCGAACGAACCCUUCGGGGUUAGUGGCGGACGGGUGAGUAGCACGUGGGAACGUGCCUUUAGGUUCGGAAUAACUCAGGGAAACUUGUGCUAAUACCGAAUGUGCCCUUCGGGGGAAAGAUUUAUCGCCUUUAGAGGGGCCGGCGUCUGAUUAGCUAGUUGGUGAGGUAAAGGCUCACCAAGGCUACGAUCAGUAGCUGGUCUGAGAGGAUGACCAGCCACAGUGGGACUGAGACACGGGCCAAAAGUCUACGGGGGGAAGGAGGGGGGGAUCUUGGGGAAAGGGGGGAAGCUGGACGAAGGCAUUCCGGUUGGAUGAAGAAGGUCUUAAGGAUGGAAAAUCCUUUCACCGGGGAAGGGAAUUGACGUAACCGGGGAAGAAGCCCCGGCUAACUUCGUGCCAGCCGCCGCGGUAAUAC